UACGAAGGUCCCGAGCGUUGUUCGGAAUCACUGGGCGUAAAGGGAGCGUAGGCGGCGUGGUAAGUCAGAUGUGAAAUCCCGGGGCUCAACCCCCGGAACUGCAUCCGAUACUGCCGUGCUUGAGGGUUGGAGAGGUAGCUGGAAUUAUCGGUGUAGCAGUGAAAUGCGUGGAUAUCGAUAGGAACACUCGUGGCGAAGGCGAGCUACUGGACAACAUCUGACGCUGAGGCUCGAAGGCCAGGGGAGCAAAAAGGG
rnacentral:rRNA from 1 species